rnacentral:lncRNA from 10 species
CAGUAUCUUUGCCCUGAGUAAAGCCUGUCUGCUCCAGUCUAGUCUGGGUGAUUCAGAUAUGAGGACACUGGGAGUCACGUUGGCUGGUUCCGUUUCUGCACCACCUUCGUGAGUUACUUGGGUGUUUCCUGAAGAAUCGUCUCAAAUGUAUACAAAUCCUGGCAUUUAAUUGUGGGAAUGGAUCUGCUACUGUGCACAAAAGUUCUUGGAGAUCAACAACAAUCCAAAGGCAGAAGGGAAGAUAAUUAGAAAUUGAGGAUGGGAAAGAGGAAGAGAGAAGAAAUAAUGACUUUCAGAGGACUUUCUCUCCCUUAGAACAAAAUGAAAAGGAACACCUAAAAUACUCAGCAUGUGGUACUUUUGUCUCUGC